rnacentral:rRNA from 1 species
CAGCAGCCGCCGCGGUAAUACGGAGGGUGCAAGCGUUAUCCGGAUUUAUUGGGUUUAAAGGGUCCGUAGGCGGACUUAUAAGUCAGUGGUGAAAGCCUGUCGCUUAACGAUAGAACUGCCAUUGAUACUGUAAGUCUUGAGUAUAUUUGAGGUAGCUGGAAUAAGUAGUGUAGCGGUGAAAUGCAUAGAUAUUACUUAGAACACCAAUUGCGAAGGCAGGUUACCAAGAUAUAACUGACGCUGAGGGACGAAAGCGUGGGUAGCGAACAGGAUUAGAUACCCCAGUAGUCCCUGUCUCUUAUAC